rnacentral:rRNA from 1 species
GAUGAACGCUAGCGGGAGGCCUAAUACAUGCAAGUCGAACGGUAAGGCUCCUUCGGGAGUACACGAGUGGCGAACGGGUGCGUAACGCGUACGAAACAUGCCUUUAUCAAAUGGAUAGCCCUGGGAAACUGGGAUUAAUACAUUAUAGUAUUAUGAUAACACCUGUUAUAAUGAUUAAAGCUCCGGCGGAUAAAGAUUGUCGUGCGUCCCAUUAGCUAGUUGGUAAGGUAAAAGCUUACCAAGGCGACGAUGGGUAGCUGGUUUGAGAGGAUGAUCGGCCACACUGGUACUGAGACACGGACCAG